rnacentral:rRNA from 1 species
ACGCACGCUGGCGGCAGGCCUAACACCUGCCAGUCGAGCGCGCCCUUCGGGGUGAGCGGCGGACGGGUGAGUAACGCGUGGGAACGUGCCCUUUUCUACGGAAUAGCCUCGGGAAACUGAGAGUAAUACCGUAUACGCCCUUUGGGGGAAAGAUUUAUCGGAAAAGGAUCGGCCCGCGUUGGAUUAGGUAGUUGGUGGGGUAAUGGCCUACCAAGCCGACGAUCCAUAGCUGGUUUGAGAGGAUGAUCAGCCACACUGGGACUGAGACACGGCCCAGACUCCUACGGGAGGCAGCAGUGGGGAAUCUUAGACAAUGGGGGCAACCCUGAUCGAGCCAUGCCGCGUGAGUGAUGAAGGCCUUAGGGUUGUAAAGCUCUUUCAGCUGGGAAGAUAAUGACGGUACCAGCAGAAGAAGCCCCGGCUAACUCCGUG